CCCAAAUGAAACUGAGCUUGAAAGUCAGCGAAAUAUAUAUUAAACAAUGUAUUUCAUAUUUUACCUGAAUAAUUAUAUUUACAGUAUUUUUCUAAACGAUUAAUACAUGUAGAUUGUAGGAUACAGUAGUUUUUAUUGAAUAAAAUACUUUCAAAAUUUUGCCCAGUUUGGUACUUGCAAGCUUUCCAUGUUGCGAAGGAAAUUUUGAGGAAGCGCAAUUUAUUUUGACACACAUAAUUUCUUGUGUUCAUUGACGAUUCCUUCAGUAACAGAAGGUUCUGCUAAAGUGGAAAGCCUAAAUCUGCCUUAUACAUAAUUCGCAAUUAGGCACAGUGUCCUCAGUGGCGCCAUGGCCG